rnacentral:rRNA from 1 species
CAGCCGCCGCGGUAAUACGUAGGGGGCGAGCUUUACCCGGAUUCACUGGGCGUAAAGGGGGUGUAGGCGGCUCGGUAAGUCGGGUGUGAAAUCCCACGGCUCAACCGUGGAAUUGCGCCCGAAACUGCCGAGCUUGGGGCCGGUAGAGGGAGACGGAACUGCCGGUGUAGGGGUGAAAUCCGUAGAUAUCGGCAGGAACGCCGGUGGGGAAGCCGGUCUCCUGGGCCGCGCCCGACGCUGAGGCCCGAAAGCUAGGGGAGCAAACCGGAUUAGAUACCCGGGUAGUCCUAGCCGUAAACGAUGCCCACUAGGUGUGGGGGAGUAUUUCCUCCGUGCUGGAGCUAACGCGUUAAGUGGGCCGCCUGGGGAGUACGCCCGCAAGGGUGAAACUUAAAGGAAUUGGCGGG